rnacentral:rRNA from 1 species
GACGAAGGAUGCAAGCGUUAUCCGGAUUCAUUGGGUUUAAAGGGAGCGUAGGUGGCCUUGUAAGUCAGUGGUGAAAUCUUCCCGCUUAACGGGAAAAUUGCCAUUGAUACUGCAGGGCUUGAGUACAGAUGCCGUUGGCGGAAUAUGACAUGUAGUGGUGAAAUACAUAGAGAUGUCAUAGAACACCGAUUGCGAAGGCAGCUGACGAAACUGUAACUGACACUGAGGCUCGAAAGUGUGGGGAUCAAACAGG